rnacentral:lncRNA from 1 species
GGGUGGCAGGAGGUGGGGCUGGAAGGAAGUGGGGCAGAUCACAGGGAAGGGGGAAGCUGGCCCAGGCAUCUGGAUUUUAUCCCAAAGCUCAUGAAUGUUAAAAGGCAGGUCCGAGGGUACCCUGGAGGACUUCCAUAGCAUCUUUAUCAGGCCUGAUGCCAUGGCCCCUAAAACUCAUUUGCUUUAUUGCUACCCGAAUACCCUUUACAAAUGCAAAUCCGAGCAAUGAGCACACUGCCUGCAACCCUCAGGGAUCCCGACUCUUACAGUGAAGACAGAGCUCUUCAAUACACCCUGUGGAAAGGCUGGCCAGUGCCUUGACCCCAUUAAAAGGCUCUGAAAAAAGUAUAAAGAUAGGGGAAAGCAGAGCAGAAGGCUUGGGCAGAGCUCUGGGACUCGGAUGGAAAGCAUCCCCACUUGGAGGUGCUCACAAGCGGAAGCCCCUCUGGGAGAGGAGACAAAUGGGAAAGCAGAUGGAAAAGCUUUUGGUGGAGCCAAUUUGCAGAUCUGUAAAAUGGGUUCUUUCCGGCC